GGGUCCGUAGCUCAGCGGUGAGAGCAGCGCACUCAUAAUGCGUUGGUCCCUGGUUCGAAUCCAGGCGGACCCA
rnacentral:tRNA from 1 species